AUGUUAAGUACCAGGCCUUUGAGGACACAAUUGGCCUCCCCUCGAGCCACACAAGGAGAGGCUGGGAGAGGAUGUUCUGGAAGAAGUGAGAAGCAUUUGCUGAGUAAAGGUAAGUCAGCCCUUUGCUGCACAGGUGAGGACAUAAUCCUGCUAAUGCUAUGGAUGGUUCUAGGGAAGGAAGUUGCCAAGCUCACUCAUCCGUACAUCUUGAUUUCUGCUUGCAAAAUGCUAAUAGGGUGCACUGGGCUUUUCUUCAAUGACAGCUUAUUCAAGUGAGACCUUAAAUUAUAAUUAGAAGUAGGAUGCACUUGUCCUGUGCAAAUAUGAUAAUUGGUUCAUAAAUGUAUAAUGCUGUUAAUUAGCGUGUGAUCUCUUGUAACAUAGGAAUGUGUUGCUGUCUCCUGAACCCCUGAGGACAGGAUAAUGAAUCACAAUUCAGUGCUCUCAUAGUACUUGGAAAGGAAAGAGCAUCACUCACUCAGUUUAGGCUGCUCAGAAACUUUGAGCAAAGUAAGGAAGAAUAGAGGAGUCUUUGCAAGACCAUACCUUUCUUGCUGAAAAGCUAAUAAUCACCUAGUAGGAAGACAAAUAUUUUUCUGUUCAACAGAGUGAAAAAAUAUCUUUUUACUCUUUGCAUUACUCUGUCAUAUCCAGUGAUCUAUGGUCAAAUGAGUAUGACUGAAGAACAUUCCUGUUUGUAUCCUAGCAUGGAAGCUGUUUUAUAAACCCAGCAUUUAAAAAAAGCUACAAGAAAAAUGUACUAACACACACAUGCAUGACCAUAUUUAAUGUCAGCUCUCGUUGCAGGAAUAUAGAAAGUCACAUUGGAAGCAUAAAUAUAUGGGUUCCAAGAACAGAUGGCUCCAUCCAGAAGACUUGUAACACUCAGUGUGGUGUCAUUUGUUAUUGCUGUAGCUGUUCACUUUGUUUCUCCUCAAGGUUUAUUUGAACAGUUGUUUUCACUUGAAAGAUAUGCCCAGAAGCAUCUGCAAACAGUUGGAGACUUAGCUUUUGUUCUGCAUCUACAUUGUGCUGGAGAUACAGGGGCUUUCACUCUGCUUGGCUCUAUGACAUGAGUUUGAAGUGGGUGUCAUCCAGUGUUUCCUGGUCUGAAAAGAUCUGAAAAAGGUGGCUUAUCUCUCUCCGUGACUGAAAUUCUGUUUCACAUUUAACAAUUUUUGAUGCUAUCAAAUAUACUGAUGGGAAGAAUAGAGAACACAACUUGAUUUCAAAGAAAAGAGAGCUUUGUACAAACCCAGGGCACAUCCUUUCUAGGAUGUUUUGUGUUACAGCAAAGCAUCUUUGGCUGGGAGAUGUAUUUGCAUGACAGAGCUGCCAUCAGCCCCUAUGUCAGCCCUGCAGGCUUUGGCUUUCCUGUCUCAUAGAAGGGUUAUUCCUAUAACCCAUUCACACUCAAGACAAUUAAAAUGCAUAUUGUUCUCAUGGGUACACAGACCAUGGCAAACCAACCCAAGCCCCAAUAGAAGGAAGGGAGGUGGGGAUAUUGUAGGAGAAAAGAAGCGAUGAACUGCAUAUCCAGGAAAAGAGGCUGAAGGCAAUGGUGAUCAUUCUCAGAGGGUGCUGAGUCCCCCUCCUCAAGGUCUCUGUGGUGCAGCAAGGACAACAGCCAUGGGGACAUGGGAGUGAAGGUGUGUGGAGGUUAUGGAACAAUGGUCAGUGUCUGAGCAGGGAACUUCGUGUUUGAAUCCCCCCCACAGAUGCUGCUCCGCAGGGAUACAGAAUCCCAGGAUGGGUCAGGCUGGAAUGAGUUACAGUGGCUCAUCUGGUCCAGCCUCCCAGCUCAAGCAGAAUCAUCCCAGAGCACAUGACACAGGAGUGUUUCCAGAUUAUUCUGGAAUAUCUUCAGCGAGGGAGACCCUACACCCUCUCUGGGCAACCUGUUCCAGUGCUUGAUCACUGCACAGGAAAGUAAUUCUUCCUUGAGUCCAGGUGGAACUUCCUGGGCAUCAGUUUCUGCCCAUUACCUCCUGUCUUAUUGCUGGGCACCGUGGAGAAGAGCCUGUCUCCAGAAGAAACCAGAACACUUGGGAGGCCUUUUCUAUAGUAACAGGAGGAUUUGCACAGCCUCUGGCUGUUUCUCUGCCAAUGUGUUAAGAUCAGAAAAGAGAUGAUGCAAAACACUUUUCCCACCAUUUGUUUUAAAUUUACUCUAUUACCUCAGCAGUCAUUGUAAAUAAAAGUUGUUGUGGUGCUCUUAAUCUGCA
ensembl:lncRNA